AUGAACGCGCUUCUUUCCCCCUUGUCCGGCGGCCAAUGGGGCCAACCACCGCCUCCUCCGUCGCAGCCACGCUCCUUAAACCCCGAUUUCCUUCUCCAAAGCUCCUUCAAUCUAGACUCCUACCUCUCUAGCCUCUCCUCCUUUACACCCCACCACCGCCCUCCCAAUAAUUUCCCAAUCCGAAACCCUAGCUUCGCCCCCAACCACCACUUCUCCAUCUCAGAAUUUCAUCCUCCGCCUCCGCUUCCGUCUUCGCCUCCUCCUACGCCGCCUCCUCCGCCUCCGCUUCCGCCUUCGUCUCCGCCUCCGCUUCCGCCUUCGUCUCCGCCUCCGCUUCCGCCUUCGUCUCCGCCUCCGCUUCCGCCUUCGUCUCCGCCUCCGCUUCCGCCUUCGUCUCCGCCUCCGCCUCCGUCUCCGCCUCCGCUUCCGCCUUCGUCUCCGCUUCCGCCUUCGUCUCCGUCUCCGCCUCCGCUUCCGCCUUCGUAUUCCGUCUCCGACCUCCGCUUACGCCUUCGUUCUCCGUUUCGGCCUCCGCUUCCGCCUUCGUCUCCGUCUCCGCCUCCGUCUCCGCCUUCGCCCCAGAACCUGCUGGAGAGAGUCGAUCGCGCCGUGGAGACGGCUCGCUCCGACCUAAUUGCCGCCGGGGAAGGCGUCUUGGCGUGGAAGGUCACCCAGUCUGCGAUUCCGAUGUUGAUUCCUGGAGCUCUCUGGGGUUUUCAAUUCACAGCAUGUGCCUUCUCUUUACCGCCUCAUGCUCACUGAAGGCAAGAUAAAUGCAUUUAUCCAUUGUUUUGUCGGGGUUUGAAGAAUUGUUUCAUUGUAUGAUCUGGAAGUAGCAAUCUGCAAGAAUGAGGGUAUUGAACAGUUUAAAGAGCUGGGAUUGGGCCCUUUGUUGCGAAAUCAUCUUGUUGUGCAUUAUUUUUCAGUGAAGUGUGAUGCAACUGAAGUGUUUAAGAUAACGAGUGAGGAGAUAAUAUCCUUACUUUCUGAGUUCAUGGAUACUUGUAAACAUACAUAUAUAAGGGUUGAAGAAUUUAUAGAUUUCGUUGCAAAGAAGUGCACAGUUGCAAGCAGGGAAGACCUUGGAAUUCGAAUUCACAGCUUGGGGAUGCAUAUUUCAGCCAUCCGGGUUGCUAGGGAUUUAGAAUAUGCUGCUCUGAAGAAAUCUGGAGAGUUAAUUAUUCAAAAAGCAGAUUCAAGAUGUACAAAGGGACCUCCGAGAAUGCAGCAAGACGAACAUUUCACAACCUCUAUAGGUAAACAGUUUUGUGGCAAGCACAUUAGGUUUGAUUCAGACAAUGAUGGUAGUGAUAAUAAAAAUAAUGACCAUGUCAGAAGCAUUCAGGUUAACGUAUCGUCACAAUCUGCUGGAAUUUCUGACAGAGCGGACAGUGAUGAUGGUUUGGUUGUCUCUCCAUCACAAUCCAAGGGUCCACUCAGCCAGGUUAACGUAUCGUCACAAUCUGCUGGAAGUUCUGACAGAGUCUCUCCAUCGCAGUCCAAAGGUCAACUUCCCUCGUUGAAAAUGCAGAAAGACAAAGGUUUCAGUACCAUUUCUUGUCGUGUUGGAUCUUUUUCCUCUGUAUGUAAUCAGUUUUGUGGCAAGCAGAUUAGGUUUGAUUCUGCAGAAAACCCGGAGAAUGAAGGUGGUGAUGAUGAUUCAGAUGAUGAAGAAGCUUGUAAUGACCAGGUCACAUGCAGUUUGGUUAACUUCUCCUCACAACCUGGUGGAAGGUCUGACCGUGUGAGCAGCUGUCCUUACCCAUCUGCAAUGGAAGAGAUACAACGGCUUGGGUUGGACCAGCUUUCCUCAGAUAGUGGCAGCCAGAAGCACAAAGAGACUAUUGACUCAAUUAAAAAGAAAAGAAAAUCUGAAGAUCUUGCAAUUGAAAUCUAUGUACCUCCCAAGUUGCGUAAGACAGAAAAGGUAGAACAAGUUGCUCUGCCAAUAGAGAAUGGCAUGCGAGCCAAUAAUGUUAGAAAUUUGGAUAGAAACAAAGUGGAAAGCUGGCCACCUGUUGAUUGGAGAACUGCGCCUAGGUAUGAUUAUGCUUGUGCAAAUGGGUUUAGGACACAGUCGCCAAUUUUAAAUCCUAGAAUUGACUUACGAAAGAAGAGGGAUGAUUAUUAUAACAGAUCUGUUAAACAGACGGACAAGAUGAUUCCCAUUACAUACACUCCUCCCUCAUCUAACUUUGCGAAGAGCGAUCGUCUGAGUACUUGCACACCUGAUGCAAUACAAGCAAAGGAAACUGGGAGACUAGGUGAGCUUGCUGCUUUUAAAUACUUCAUUGAUAAAGCUGGCAAAUCAGCUGUGAGGUGGGUUAAUGAGUAUAGUGAAACAAGGCUACCAUAUGACAUAAUUGUAGAGAAUGAAGGUAGGAGAGAGUUCAUUGAAGUUAAAGCAACCAGAAAUCCAACCAAAGACUGGUUUGAAAUGUCAGUGAGACAGUUGCAAUUUGCAGUUGAGCAAGGUGAAGCUUUCAGUAUUGCUCAUGUCAUUUUAUCAGCUAAUGAUGCUGCGACGGUGAGAAUAUACAACAAUCUGGAGAAACUGUUGAUGAAGCAUAACAACCAGGAGCUACAGGACCAGAAUUGCAAGCUGAAGUCGGUCGUCAUGGUGCUUGAGCCACAGAAGGAAUUUACCAUUGUGUCCUAUUUCAACUGGGGCCAACCUCCUCCUCCUCACCUCCCCCACCCUCAAUUUCUCCACCCCAAUCAAAACCCCUCCACCACCUACCCCUCUCAACCUCCCACCUUCCCACCACCGCAACCGCAAAACCCUAAUCUCUUCCUCCAAAACCUCAACACCUUUCUCAACACCUAUGGCCACACCAAUUUCUACCCCGCCCCAACCUCCAAUUUCCCUCUCCCAAACCCUAACCCCGCCCCCCACUCCACUCCACCCUUCCGCCCUCCGAGCCUCCCCCCUAACCCUAACGAGACGCUGCCAUCGCCGGAGCCUUCAAGUUCGGGUUUUCGGGCCGAGGACCCGAGGGAGGUGCUCCGGAAGAUCGACCGUGCGGCGGAGAUGAUUCGCGACGAGGUUGUCGCCGCCGGGAGGUCCGUCUCGUCGUGGAAGGUGUUGCAGACUGCGCUUCUGAGGGCCAAUGUUGACGCCGAGACUUGUUUGGGGGUUAGAAUUGAGCAACUGCCGUCUCUCCACCGCCUCAUGGUCACUGAAGGAAGGAUAAAUGCCUUUAUCCAUUGCUUUGUCAAGGUUCGGAAAAUUAUAUCUUUGUAUGAUUUGGAAGUUGCGAUAUGCAAGAAUGAGGAUAUUGAGCAUUUUGAAGAGCUUGGAUUGGGUCCUUUGUUGCGACACCCACUAGUUUUGCAUUAUUUCUCCGUGGAUUCUGAAACAACUGAAGUCUUUAAGAUCUCUACUGAGGAUAUAGUACGUUUACUCAGUAUGUACCUAAAGAAGCCGAAAAUUAAGGAACAUUCUGUAGAGGGGUUCUUGGAUUUUAUUGCUAAGAAGCGAUCUGUUACAGGCAAGGAAAAGCUAGGAAUUCGAAUUUUUAGUUUGGGGGUGCAUUAUUCUGCUAUGCGUGAAGCCAAUGCUUCAGAACAUGCAGCUGUAUGUAAAUCCUUACAGGAAUUGAAACCAAAGAAAACCAAAAGAUCUAGGAUGAGGUUACCAUUAUUCUCCUUGCUGAAAAAGCGGCUAGAUAAAGAAUUUCAUGCCAUCUCACAGCAAUCUGAAUUCUGUUCUGUUGUACAAAAGAAUAGAGAGGAAGACACACCUGUUUCUUCAAGAUCAGAGGAUGAAGGUAUUAAUGAUUGUUUACGUGAUGACAAAGGUAAUGACCAUGGUACUGGCGGUCAUAUUGACUCAUUCAAAUCCCUGGAAAGUUCUGACAGAGUGCGUAAGUGUGGUUACUUGUCCAAAGUGGAAGAGAGGUCUUGGCUCUUGUCAAACAACCCUUCUCCAAGCCUAAAGCUUAAUGAGAGUAACGAGUCAGUCAAAAAGAAAAGAAAAUACAAAAGCCUAAGCUGCCCCAUCUCUGUUCCCGCAAAGUUGUGCAAGAGAGAGAAGGUAGAGCAAGAUGCUCUUCCUACAGAGAGUGACAGUGAAACUACGGUGGUCAGCGACAUGCUUAAACUUGAUCUUGCAAUUGCCAAUAAUCCUUUGAAGAUGUUCAUUAAAACAUGGAAGGAGGCAUGUAGGGAGCAGCCUGUUGCUGAGGUACUUUGGACCAUGCUUCGCUCUUAUCAUACAAAGUAUAAGAGGACAGCGAAACUCAUGAAAAUGUUUUCUACAUACCCUUUGCUUGGAUUGCUCAAUGUUGCCGUCUUAUCUAUCAAAUGUGGAAUGUGGGAUAGUAUGUAUGAUAUGUCCGAAACCAUGGGUACACAUGAGUUACCUAACACUGUAAGAAGUAUAAAGAAUGCAUCACCAGUCAACACUGAACAUGCUACCGAACAUGGACAGACGUCUUGCAGCCUGAAGCAGGAUCGUCAGUGUAGUCGAAAAGCUACUGGUGAGCCAGUCCAGCGGAAGAUUCAAAGGAAGAUCCAAAAGAGUCGGAAGAAGUCGGGGUUUGAAGAAGUUAAAAUCUGCUACCUUUGUAAUCAAGAGGGACACAUCAAGAGAAGUUGCCCUCUACAGCAGCAAACUAAAAAAUCAUCUUUUGGACCUCAGAGUCAUCAUCAAUUGGCUCAGCAUUCUGCUAAACCCGACACAUCUAUCCAACAACUUUCAGGUCAGCCACAGCAGAGCAAGGGUAGAAUGUCAAUGCCCCAAAACCAUGGACAUGGAAUUUCUGGAUUAGAGGUAGAGGAGAAAGUCAGUGCUGUGGUUGACGGUGUUUCAGUUAAAGAGAUAAUCAGGAAAGUUGCUACAUAUUUUGAGAAUGAUCGCGGAAUGUCCAGCAAUGGUGAAUCACUUCAGGAGAAGAUAUUUAUUUACUUCAGAAAGCUUUGUAAUUGUGAACUCUGGUUGACUGAGGAAUUUUCUGUCAUGGAAUUUAGAUCCCUUGGCUAUGGGGACUUUAUGAUCUUCUUAGAAAAAUAUGCCCGUCUUCUGCCACAGGAGAUGUUCAAGUUCUUGAUUGAUGACAGCAGUGGAAAGUUUCCUGUGCAGGUUCGCAUGCUUCCGCAUUAUUUAGUUGUUAUGGUAUCUCAAGCUUUAAACAGUUUAUGGGAGGAUCAAAAGAUUACCACACUAAAUAUUUCUUCUCUGCUUGGGAAGCAGUUCCCGUCCCUUAGUUUCCAAACCAUUGAAAGUGGGUCAGUAGAAGACAUCAAAAGUAUAUUGGGAAAUCAUAAAGACGCCACAAUUUCGAAAGGUGUACUAUUUUCAAUGACAUUAAGUGGAACUAGUUACACUCUAGAAUCAUUGGAAAACUGUCGUCAGAAUGCUGUAUUGAAUAGCAGCUCGGUGAGUGUUAAUCAAUCUGUUGCAUCCAAGGAGGCAAUUGCAGUCCUACUUCGGGCACCAAUGAUGUCAGAUUUGAAUUUAUGGUCUCAUUGGGACAUCUUAUUUGCUCCCUCUCUUGGGCCUCUUGUACCAUGGUUAUUAAAUGAAGUCAACACAGGUGACUUACUCUGUUUGGUGACCAAAGAUGGCAAAGUUAUUCGGUUAGAUCAUUCAGCUACUGUAGACUCAUUCUCGAAAGCUGCACUUAAAGGAUCCUCUUUCCAAACAGCAUUGGAAUUUUUAUCCCUCGUUUCACUGGUUGGGGGAGAAAAACAUGUCCCUGUGUCCCUUUUGAAAUUCCAUGUACAGCGUGCAUUUGAAGUUAUUUUCAAGACUUAUGUAGAUGGUAUGGAUACAUGUGACAAGAAGAGUUCUCUUAAUCAAGGAAAAGUUUACUGUGGACAGAAGAUGGUUGUUGAUAGUGUUACUGGUAAAUGUAGUAACUUGCACAGAGAUGUAACGCAGAUGAAAAUUGCUGAGUCUGUAAUAUCACAUUUUUUUCUUGAUUGCCUGGGGUAUCUACCUGCAGAGUUUCGUAGUUUUGCUGCUGAUGUGUUAUUUUCUGGGAUGAGGUCUGUUUUUAAGCAGGCAGCUUCAGCCAUUUUGGAUGAAAGCAACCAAAUAGAGCAGCGUCUUAUACUUCAUGAAGUUGGCCUAUCUCUUGGUAUAGUGGAGUGGAUUAGUGAUUACCAUGUAUUCAGUUCCUUAGAUACUACUGAACUGUUCAUGUCUGUGGCUUGUGGUCUCAAUAGCGAUGACAUGGGGUCUGGCUCACAAUAUAUGCAAAAUGUGUCAAAGAAGUUUGCUGCUUCUGAACAGAGUAUGGCUGCAUCUGUUAGGGCAGAUGAGCAUAAAGGAGGAUGUGCUGAUGUUAGCGUGAUGGUUGAUGGUGGAGGAGUUUCUGAGGCUGAAAUUGGCAGUGGUUACAGACAACAUCCUACUGAUAUUAAUAAAAAUAAAGAUGCUUUCCAGGUUAUUGAGUCGAUCAGGAGAGAUGAAUUCGGUUUGGGUUCAAGCCUAUUGAACUUUGAAAGUAUUGUCUUAAAGAAACAGCAUGCUCGCUUAGGGAGAGCUCUGCACUGUCUUUCACAGGAAUUAUAUUCUCAAGAUUCUCAUUUUCUUCUUGAGCUGGUUCAAAAUGCUGAUGAUAAUACUUAUCCAACAAGUGUGGAGCCAACUCUAGCAUUCAUUCUUCAAGAGUCGGGUAUUGUUGUUUUGAAUAAUGAACAAGGCUUCUCUGCCCAGAACAUAAGAGCACUUUGUGAUGUUGGAAAUUCAACCAAGAAAGGAUCCAAUGUUGGAUAUAUAGGGCAAAAGGGCAUUGGUUUCAAAUCAGUAUUUCGUGUCACAGAUGCUCCAGAAAUUCAUUCUAAUGGAUUUCAUAUCAAGUUUGAUACAAGUGAGGGUCAGAUCGGUUUAAUUUUGCCCACAGUUAUACCUCCUUGCAAUCUUGAGUUGUUUAGACAGCUUACAUCUAGUGACAUUGAUAAACCAGAUUGUGACAACUGGAACACUUGUAUUGUUCUUCCCUUCAGAUCGAAGGUAUCAGAUGGAACUGUCAUGAACCACAUAAUGGAUAUGUUUUCAGAUCUUCAUCCAUCCUUACUACUAUUUCUUCACUGCCUGAAGUGUAUCAGGUUUAGAAACCUAAUCGAUGAUUCGCUUACUGUCAUGAGAAAAGAAAUUGUAGGAGAUGGUAUUGUUAAGGUUUCACAUGGGAAUAAGAAGAUGACAUGGUUUGUAGUAUCUCAGAAAUUGCACUCUGAUAAUUUUCGUAGUGAUGUUCAAACAACAGAAAUCUCAAUUGCCUUUACAUUGAAGGAGUUAGAGAAGGGCACUUAUGGUCCAGAUAUAGGCCAACAGCCGGUUUUUGCAUUUCUUCCUCUUAGAACCUAUGGCCUGAAAUUUAUUCUUCAAGGUGAUUUUGUCCUUCCUUCAUCCAGAGAAGAAGUGGAUGGAGAUAAUCCCUGGAACCAAUGGCUAUUGUCAGAAUUUCCUGGUUUAUUUGUCAAUGCAGAGAAAUCAUUUUGUUCUCUUCCAUGCUUCAAAAAGAAUCCUGGGACUGCUGUGGCAGCUUAUAUGUCGUUUGUUCCACUUGUUGGGGAAGUGCAUGGUUUCUUUUCUUCUCUUCCUCGAUUAAUUAUUUCUCGAUUACGAAUGUCAAAUUGCUUACUUCAGGAAGGACAAAAUGAAGAAUGGGUUCCUCCGUGCAAGGUCCUAAGAGGUUGGACUAAACAGGCUCGUUUGCUUCUCCCUGAAGGUCUACUGCAUGAGCAUCUUGGCCUUGGAUUCUUGGAUAAAGAUAUAGUUCUGCCUGACCCACUUGCAAGAGCUCUAGGUAUUGCAGAGUAUGGCCCCACAGUUCUGCUUCAGUUAAUGGGUUCUUUAUGUGGUAAGCAGAAUAGCCUCAAAUCAAUGGGAAUGGUUUGGAUGGCCUCUUGGCUAAUUGAACUGUAUGCAAUGUCAUUCAAAUCCUCUGUUGAAACUUCUUUUGAUUCUGGAAUAGAAAUGGAUUUCCUAGAAACACUCCGAAAAAUUCCAUUCAUACCUCUUUCAGAUGGUACAUAUGGUGCAGUGGUUGAAGGCCCAAUUUGGCUACACUUUGAAACUGUUGGGUCAGGUUUUGGGGAUCAUCAUGGACUUGAAUCUUUUCCAAAUUUACAUGCUAAACUUCGGAUUGUAAGUCCAGGACUCCUUGCAUCAUCGGAUGUGACACCAAUUGACAGAGUCAUUAGUAUGCUUCAUAAAAUUGGUGUCCAACGGUUGUCCGCACAUGAGAUUCUCAAGGCGCACAUCUUGCCAGCUAUAUCUGAUUAUAGAAUUACAAUUAGGGAUGAAGAUUUAAUGACUGAUUAUGUUUGCUUUGCAAUGGUUCAUCUACAGUCGAGCUGCUCUGAUUGUUUGGCCGAAAGGGAAUACAUAAUAUCAGAACUACGAUAUAAAGCUUAUAUUCUAACUAAUAAUGGCUUUAAACGACUUGCUGAGGCAUCAAUUCAUUUCAGUAAAGAGUUUGGGAAUCCUGUGGACAUAAAUAGGUUGAUUGAUAGGCUAAAUCUGAGGUGGGAUGAGGUUCAUAUCUCCUAUUUGAAGCACCCAGUCACUAAAUCACUUACAAAUGGACUGAUGAAGUGGAGAGAAUUUUUCCAGAAUAUAGGCAUUGUGGAUUUUGUGAAGGUAGUUCAAGUUGAGAAGGGUUUCUCUGAGUUCUCUGAAGCUUUACUUAACAAUUUGACUCCGGACCAGCACACUGUUUCCCAUGAAUUGAAUGCCACAGAUUGGGAGUCACCUGAAUUAGUCCAUUUAUUAUCCUUAUUGUCCAGAGAUGGCAACCGAAAAGGUUGUGAGUAUCUCUUAGAAGUUCUUGAUACAUUAUGGAAUGAUUUCUAUAGUGACAGAGCUACAGGGUACUGCUCUUCUAAGUCUGUAGCAGAUAGAAAGCCCUUCAAAUCUUCAUUUGUGAGCACCAUCUGCGAUAUGCAAUGGCUAGUAUCAGGAAUGGAUGAUAAACUUCACUAUCCCAAGGAUUUAUAUCACGAUUGUGUUGCAGUGCGGUCAAUUCUUGGUGGUUCUGCCCCAUAUUCUGUUCCAAAGGCUAGCAGUGAAAAGUUUGUAUCUGAUAUUGGUUUUAAGACAAGAGUCUGUCUUCAUGACGCUCUGGAGAUUUUGAAAAUGUGGAGAUAUGAGAAUCCAUUCAGGGCCAGCCUAGCACAAAUGUCCAGAUUUUACUCGUUAAUCUGGAAUGAAAUGGCUUCUUCAAAGAAGACAACUGCAGAGGAGUUCCAUUUGCAACCUUUUGUAUUUGUUCCAUAUGAUUCUAGCUUUCGGCAUGAAGAUGUGGUGUAUGGUACAUUUUUGUCCCCAGAAGAAGUAUACUGGGAUGAUUCUACUUUCUUUGUUGACCAAAUUAAAGAGAUUCAUUCUCAGUGCAGCUCAACGUUCGGUAGUCAUGGCCCCGUAAACAAGAUUCUGAGUAAUUUCUACCCACCCCUUCAUGACUUUUUUGUUGAUAUAUGUGGAAUACAUGAGAUCCCUCCUCUUCGUAGCUACCUUCAGAUUAUGCUACAGUUUUCAAAUGCUGUUUUGCCUUCACAAGCAGCUAAUGCCGUUUUCCACAUUUUUCAGAAGUGGACUGAUGGGCUCCAGUCAGGAUUGAGUGCUGAGGAUAUUGUUUACUUGAAGGAUUCUCUUACAAUGAUGGAUUGUACUGUGCUUCCUACUGUACAAAAUAAGUGGGUUUCUCUACAUCCUUCCUAUGGUCUUGUGUGCUGGUGUGAUGAUAAGAAGUUAAAAGAGCAGUUUAUGAAUAUGGAUGGGAUUGAUUUUCUUUACUUGGGUGAACUGAGUAAUGAUGAUGAAGAGGUCCUAUGUACAAAGAUCUCCAUCCUUAUGCAAACCUUAGGGAUUCCUGCACUUUCAGAGGUUGUGACCCGUGAGGCGAUGUUUAAUGGUUCGACAGAUUGUAGCAUCAAAGCUGCAUUGCUGGAUUGGGCUUUGCCAUAUGCACAGCGCUACUUACAUAGUACAUAUCCUGAUAAAUAUUCUCAACUCAAGCAGUCUGGAUUCGAUAUACUAAAUCAUUUGCGAGUAGUAGAAGUUCAACAGCUGUCUUACCGCAAUGUUAUAAAGAUUGCUGGAAGUGAAUCCAAGAAGCGAAUUGAAUGUAGUUGUCUUCUGCAGGAUCAUGAUCUGUAUACAACCCAGGAACCAGAUUCUCACGCAUUAUUUAUGGAGCUUUCUCGUUUGUUUUUUGAUGGAAAACCAGAGUUACACUUGGCGAAUUUCCUUCAUAUGAUCACAACAAUGGCUGAAUCAGGUUCAACUGAGGAGCAAAUAGACUUUUUUAUCAUCAAUAGCCAAAAGGUGCCAAAGCUUCCUGAUGGAGAAUCUGUUUGGUCCCUGUCACAUGCACAUAAUGAUAGGUCACCCCAGCCGAGUGACUGGCCCUUUGUUGGUUGGAGAACCCCACUAAGUUUAGGUUAUGCAAAUCUUAUCCAGGCUCAGGCACAAUUUGCACAGCCUACCAGUGUCUCACAAAUUGAAAUGGAUAAUGAUUCUGAAUACCGUGUCAGACAAAUAGUUGAAUCAUCUCCCAUUUCAGUCGACAUUAAAUGGACUAUGGACGAGGAUACAGCAACAACAUCUGCACCUUUAGGGCUGCCAAACUCCAAUGAUUUGCAAGUAGACUAUGACGAUGGUGGCAAUGGGACGGAUAUGGAUACUGAAUUUGAUCCCAUUAAUCCAGAUUUUGUUGUUGAUCCUCGCGUAUCAGGGUCAUCUGAUGGUAGCAAGAUGGACCAUCCUAGAUAUGGCGUCUCUAGUGGAAGAGAUGCAAUGCUUACCGGAAGGCUAGGUGAGGUUGUUGCUUAUAGAUACUUAAUUGCAAAAGCUGGGAAGUCAGCUGUGAGAUGGGUUAAUGAAAGAAUUGAAACUGGGCUACCCUAUGACAUAGUUGUAGGUGCCAAGGAAGAUAGGCUAGAGUUCAUUGAAGUUAAAGCCACCCAAAAUCAAAGAAAGGACUGGUUCCGCAUAUCAAUGAGGGAGUGGCAAUUUGCAGCGGAAAAAGGCGAAGCCUUCAGCAUUUUGCAUGUACUUUUAUUGGGUAAUAAUGCCGCAAGAGUCUCCGUUUACAAGAAUCCUGUAAGAUUGUGUCAGCUGGGUAAGCUAGAGUUGCAUCUUAUGAUGCCUAAGCAGGAGAAGGAAUUAUUUCUUCUGUCCUGAAAGGCUCUUCAUAGCGAUUUGAAUAGGUAAAAGGAAUGCGAGUUGCUUUUGUUCAACUUAUUUUUAUGAUCCAAAGGGGCAGUUAUGUUGCUGCCCUCGGAUUACAGGAGGUUACCUAGUUGCUUUCUGUUAACUAGUUGUUUGCAAGGACUUGCAAUCACAGAUAUUGUACAGUGAUUUACAGUUUAGGAUUCUACCCUAUUACAGUGGAAAAAUCUACUUACUGCCUUCAAUUGC